UUCAGCGCCCCCCAAAUCUAAUAAAAAUUAUAGUGUGUGUUGUCCCUUUUCCCAAUAGAGCAUCUCAGACUAAGGACCAGAAACAGGAAGCCAGCCUGAGCAGUGGCCCAUCAGAAAAAAGCCCUUCAUCUUUGGCCCAGGGACUGAGCUGACUUUGCAAAACGGUUCUGAAGAUAAGGGGUGAUGAGGGACACAGAGACCGGGGUUUCUGAAGUUGCUGUUAAGAGAAAGAAAAUUUCCCACGUACAAUACGAUGCUUGCAGCUUAGAAGAUGAGACACAAAUAGUCAGAGAACUGAAGAUGGCAGGGGAAAGAUCUGGAUUACAUGCUACAGAGAUCUGUACAACCCUGUUA